rnacentral:rRNA from 1 species
UACGGAGGGGGCUAGCGUUGUUCGGAAUUACUAGGCGUAAGGCGCACGUAGGCGGCUUUGCAAGUCAGAGGUGAAAGCCCGGGGCUCAACCCCGGAAUUGCCUUUGAGACUGCAUCGCUAGAAUUGUGGAGAGGUAAGUGGAAUUCCGAGUGUAGAGGUGAAAUUCGUAGAUAUUCGGAAGAACACCAGUGGCGAAGGCGACUUACUGGACACAUAUUGACGCUGAGGUGCGAAAGCGUGGGGAGCAAACAGG